ACUAAAAGCUCUCAAAAUUACACUCAAGAUUAUUCUGUGACCUGAUGGAUACUUGGACGCUCACUUACUAGCACCUGCUUCUUCAUGUUUAUGAUAUAAUGAAAGUAGACUGAAAAUGGAGAACAGAUACUGGUUAUUCUGUGAACCUCCAGUAUUGUCUAUAACCCUUUUACCAAGUGAUUUGAUUUCAUUGUGUCACCUGGAAGGAAAGGGAUCCAGGAGUACAAAUGCUACCAUCAGGAACUGUUUCCAUCUGGGGCGAGUGGGAUAGAAUACUCUGAUGUGGAUCUUAAACCUGAGGUAAUGACAGCUAAAAGUUCGUC